CAACAUGGCGGAUUACAGCGGGAGGAAAGGCAUCACCUCCGAACAUAUCGGCCUCGUCAAGACGAAUUGGAGGCGUGUAAUGAUUUGAAACUCAUCCUGAAAUAUCUGUGGACUGUGCUGACCGUGCUGAGAUGAGUGGUUCGGCGAGGCGGACCUUGGAAACACCUACAUGGCCAUCACGACUGAAGUGGUGUUCGCUGACAGGUAAAAUGCAGGUGCAACCUUCACAGACUGACAGAGAUUGAGUGAUAACAGACACUGGAGACCCUCCAGGCGAUGGCUGGUGACCGCCUGCCACCAUCCACAGGCUGUCACACAAGGAGCCCUGGGAGUAACCUUGCUGGAAGCCCCGCGGGCUGCAGUGUGUGGCUGGCGUUAUACAGCCCCCAGCCAUCGCCUGGAGGGCAUCCAGUGUCUGUUAUCACUCACCUUAGGUAGUCUGUGAAGGUCCAGUCAUCACUGGUGCACGUGUAUCUUACCUGUGAUCAACACCGGCAGCCACAGACUCCUGCCCAAGGAACGAACACAGUGAUCGUGAUGACAUUGACAACAACGAGCAAGUCCUCCUAGACCUAGAGUGACCUCAAGCUGGGCCAAACAUGAUGUGGAAGAAGAAAUCAGUUGUCUCCAUCAGUCGGGUUUGUGCCAUGGCAGUGUCUGGCAGAGGUCCAGUCCAUGCCAUGGAGAAAUUCAGCCCCCAACAAUGAGAUGGCAUGCCAGAGAUGGAUCCGCAGCUUCUCCUCCAAUCAAUCAAUCCUUGCAAUGCCCUUUCUCUUUUCUCUCCUUCUGUACCACCAUGCUUACACAUAACUGAUCCAAGGUACCUAAACUCGUUAACCUCCUCCAUUUCUUCACCAUUCAAAAUUAUUUGGCAUUCUUUUUCACAUUCAAUGCCCACUCUAUAUGGGCAUACAAACUCUACAACCUCCCUUCUACUCCGCUCACAAACCAUCACUUUACUUUUGUUGACAUUUACUUUCAACUUUCUCCUUUUACAGACACUAUCAAAAACACUGACCAAAUUUUGUAAGUCACUCUCAUUUUCUGCAAUGAGCACUGUGUCAUCAGCAAAUAAGAUUGAAUUCAUCACCCACUUCCUUCCCUCCCUCAGCAUACAUUUUUACUUCAAUUUCCCCAACUUUGCCCUUCAUUUCUCAUAACACCAUCCAUAUAAAUAUUGAACAACCACGAUGACAUGACACACCCCUGCCUUAGCCCACUUUCAUCUCAAAAUGUUCACUUGUUUCUCCAGUAAUUUUGACACAUGCAGAUGCAUCCUCAUAGAAAGACUGUAUUGCAUAAAGCAGUUUUCCUCCCACACCAUAUAUCUUUAAGACGUCCCACAAUGCCAGCCAAUCGACUCUGUCAUAAACUUUCUUUAGAAUAACUAGAUCCAUGAAGGCAGCAUAGUAUUUUUUCCUUUUGCUAAUAUUUUUUCUAAUAAAACACCAUCCUGAAGGAAAAUAUCUGAUCCACACAUCCUCUUCCCUUCCUGAAGUCUCCUUGUUCUUCACUGAUUUUCUCUUCUGUAAGUCUUUGCGCAGUCUCAAUUAGGACUUUUCCAUAUACCUUUCCAGGUAGCCUACACUCAGCAGACUUAUACCCCUACAACUCCCACCUCCCCUCUCCUGCCCUUCCCCUUGUAAACUGGGACCAUGAUGGCUUUUGUCAAGUCUGCUGGGACCUCCCCCCCCCUUCCCAGGCCACUUCACAUAUCUUGACCAUUCAUAUAGUAACUUCAUCUCCACACUUCAACAUUUCUGCUGUGAUUCCUCUCAAUUCAUUCAUCAUCAUCAUCUCAUCGACGCCUGCUCUUAGGAGCUCCCACCAGUGGAUGGCCACGGCAGAAGUUUCCAUCUUUCUCUAUCCGGACACUCCCUCCUUGCCUGCUCAAAGUUUCUCAAGGAUCUCUCAUCCUUCUCCCUAACGUACUCCUGCACCCUAUCUCUCCAUUUCACUGGAGGUCGUCCUCUAACAUUCCCUCCCUCAAUCUAACAUACACCCUUCUGGUCAUCUUACUCUCCUCCAUUCGCUCCAUGUGGCCAAACCACUUUAAAGUCACUUAUUCCCUUCACCCCCGUGACACAUUCCAAAACGCUCAUACACACUUUCAUUACUUAUUCCAUCCAUUCUACUCACACCACAAGCACUCCUCAAAUAACUCAUUUCCACUGUCUGCACUCUAGACCUCUGACUUUCAUUCCUGGCCCAUGUUUCACUUGCAUAUGUGAGGGUUGGUACUAUUAUUGUAUUUUCAACUGAUAACUGAUCCAAGGUACUUAAACUCAUUGACCUCCUCUAUUUCUUCACCAUUCAGAAUUAUUUUGCAUUCUUUUUCACACUCAGUUCCCACUCUAUAUGGGCAUACAAAAUCUACAACCUCACUUCUACUCCCCUCACAAACCAUCACUUUACUUUUGUUGACAUUUACUUUCAGCUUUCUCCUUUUACAGACGCUCUGAAAAUCACUGACCAAGUUUUGUAAGUCACUUUCAUUUUCUGCAAUGAGCACUGUGUCAUCAGAAAACAGGAUUGAAUUCAGCACCCACUGCCUUCCCUCAGCAUACAUUUUUACUCCAACUUUGCCCUCUAUUUCUCCCAUGACACCAUCCAUAUAAAUAUUGAACAACCAUGGUGACAUGACACGCCCCUGCCUUAAUCCCACCUUUAUCUCAAAAUGUUCACUUGUUUCUCCAGUAAUUUUGACACAUGCAGAUGCAUCCUCAUAGAAAGACUUUAUUGCACUAAGCAGUUUUCCUCCCACACCAUAAAUCUUUAAAACAUCCCACAAUGCAAUCCAAUCGAAUCUGUCAUAAGCUUUUUCUAAGUCCAUGAAGGCAGCGUAUAGUUUCUUUCCUUUUGCUAUUAGUUUUUCUCCUACCAUCCUGAAGGAAAAUAUUUGAUUGAUUCCAUCAGUUCCUGCUGCUUUUCCAUUUUUUAAUCUUUUUAAUGCCUGAUUUACUUCUUCAUAUGUUAUACUUCUUUCUUUAUAUACUCCUCCUCUACCUCCGCUCAAAACUGUUGCUGUAACAGCUGCUGGACGUCCAUCAUCAAAAUUCAUUAAGUUUUUGAAAUA